UACGUAGGGUGCGAGCGUUGUCCGGAAUUAUUGGGCGUAAAGAGCUUGUAGGCGGUUUGUCGCGUCUGCUGUGAAAAUCCGGGGCUCAACCCCGGACUUGCAGUGGGUACGGGCAGACUAGAGUGUGGUAGGGGAGACUGGAAUUCCUGGUGUAGCGGUGAAAUGCGCAGAUAUCAGGAGGAACACCAAUGGCGAAGGCAGCUCGCUGGAACGGUACUGACGCUGAGGCGCGAAAGCGUGGGGAGCAAACAGG
rnacentral:rRNA from 1 species